CGCCUUGCCAGCCGCUCAGAACUUAAGGAAUUGACGGGGCCCGCACAAGCGGAGGAGCAUGUGGUUUAAUUCGAUGAUACGCGAGGAACCUUACCUGGGCUCGAACGUAAGAUGACUGUAGGUGAAAGCUUACAUCUCUUCGGAGCAUUUUACGAGGUGCUGCAUGGUUGUCGUCAGCUCGUGCCGUGAGGUGUCGGGUUAAGUCCCAUAACGAGCGCAACCCCUACCUUUAGUUGCCAUCAGGUUAAGCUGGGGACUCUAAAGGAACUGCCUACGCAAGUAGUGAGGAAGGCGGGGAUGACGUCAAAUCAGCACGGCCCUUACGUCCAGGGCUACACACGUGCUACAAUGGCCGAUACAGAGGGCAGCUACCUGGUGACAGGAUGCAAAUCUCCAAAGUCGGUCUCAGUUCGGAUCGGAGUCUGCAACCCGACUCCGUGAAGUUGGAUUCGCUAGUAAUCGCGCAUCAGCCAUGGCGCGGUGAAUACGUUCCCGGGCCUU
rnacentral:rRNA from 1 species